UGGAGAGCGUACACAGGUGCUGCAUGGCUGUCGUCAGCUCGUGUCGUGAGAUGUUGGGUUAAGUACCCGCAACGAGCGCAACCCCUGCAUUCAGUUGCCAUCGGGUGAAGCCGGGCACUCUGGAAGGACUGCCAUCGACAAGAUGGAGGAAGGUGGGACGACGUCAAGUCAUCAUGGCCCUUAUGUCCAGGGCGACACACGUGCUACAAUGGCCGGCACAACGGGAAGCGAGUUCGCGAGGACGAGCGGAUCCCUUAAAGCCGGUCGCAGUUCGGAUUGAAGUCUGCAACUCGACUUCAUGAAGCUGGAAUCGCUAGUAAUCGCAGAUCAGCCAAGCUGCGGUGAAUACGUUCCCGGGCCUU
rnacentral:rRNA from 1 species